CCGACCUUAGAACAAUGGGUACAAAAAGUGGAAGGAGCAAGGGAACUAGAAGACAUUCACUGGUCGAUAAUGGGGAAACGUAAUAGGCAUCUCAAAACUUGGGAACCCUGGACAGAGUUUUGGACUCAUUCCAGGACAUAACCGUCCAAGAGACAGCCCUGGGCGGGACUGGACCCUUAGCAGCCAGAUAAGAGGAGCGAGUCAUGAAACAGCAAAACUAUGUUGAAUACGGG